AUGGUGCGUGUUGUGUUGGUCGUAAUCGUUGGAAACCUCACUCGGCUUUGCCCAUCUAGCCUGAGUUGGUCUUUAAGGCAAUGCUUACUAAUUUUAUUUUGUGAAGUUUGCAGGAGUUAUCUGAAGAAAGGACUCACUAUCUGGUUAAAUGUUCCAUUGGAUGCCCUUGCAAGAAGGAUUGCUGCGGUGGUUCAGCGUCAUUGCCCCUCCUGCAUCAACAAUCUGGUGAUCCAUAUGCAAAGGUUCAGAAGAGCUAUUUUGUGUACAUGA
rnacentral:rRNA from 1 species